UGUAAUUAUUUUCAAUUAAAAUUGUCAAAAAAUAUUCAUAGCAAAGAGACAUUUCUCAAGCAAGAAUUUAGCUAGGAUUGUCUGGUAGUGUUCUGAGUGGCGAUGGAAAAUUUGAAAACUAGCUGUUUUUGGGGGAGGUUUGGAAAUCUUUCUUAUUGGUCUAUUGAUGUUAACAGGCAGGCCAAAACUCCAUACCACCACUAUCAUCAUUUUCGCAAUUUCACAGUAUCAUGCCAACCUCAGUGUGGAAAUAUUAAUACAUAUGUUUUUGACUGCACUGGGUCUAAAAAGUUUAACCUUAGCAUCAGGUACUCUGUUGUGUUUAAAGUAUCUCCAUUUAAAGGCCCAGUGUUAUUUCGACCUCAAUGUACUCAUUUUGACAAUUACGUUUACUUUUGAAACUUAAGUAUAUUUAAAACCAAGUGCUUUUUGACUUUUACUCAAGUAGUAUUUUGCUAGGAGACUAAUUUGUAUUUUUUUACUUUUACAAUUGGGUACUUUUUCUACCACUGCAAACAGGCUAUUAUUGCUGUAACGUUAACUAGCCAACGUUACAUUGGCUACACAGUAAGUAUAGCUAGGUCGCUGUUUUUCUAUAUUAAACUACGUACGGUAUGUUGUAACACGGAACAAAAUAAAGUUUGCGCCAGAAGGGCCCUGUUUGAACGCAUAGUUACGCUAACUCCGUAUUCACAAUGUACAAUACUCAGUGAGUCAACUCAAAUCCGGCUAACUGGAAUUUGUCUUUCAGCAUAAAAAUAUCCUGCCUCUUCUUCACCAGUGAAUCAGGCAGCACUUCAGGGUCAUCGCUGAUGAAAGGCCUGCAACAUGACAAGGAGGAGAUACUUGAGGACGAAGAGUAUUCGAUUGAGACACAGACACACAUACACAGGACAGGCAGGUGAACAUCAACUGGCAGAGAAGCAGCUGAACUGGUUCCCCCCUAGCCCUUCUAGUUUGAUGCUGACAGAGGUGGCUGCUGCACAUGCUAAACUGGUGGUGCAGGUCAUAAAAAUGCUCUAGCCUGGUCCCAGAUCCCUCUAGCCUGGUCUUGCUAACUCCUAAUGUAUGAUAGUUGUCAUGCCAUGUUUCCAUAGGAGUUGGCUAUAUAGUACAAACAGAUCAUAGACCAAACUAACAUUUGGCUGAUUUUCAGAACCGAAAGUGAAACUUCAGUGUACUUGAGGACUACUCUAGAAAUUGUUGGCUUUGUUGCAAGAUAGAAAGGAGAAUAAGACGUGGUUUGCUUGUGUGUCACCUGAAUGUGAGGGCAAGCGGUUAUGUAUGAUAUGGUUAUGAUAGUAAUGUAGGCCCUAACAUGCACUUUGUUUUCAGGUUUGAAUGAGACAAUAUAUUCCCCUAACCUUAUUAUUUUAAUAAAGUGAUUGUUUAUGAAUAUUA